rnacentral:rRNA from 1 species
GCGAUCAUACCAGCACUAAUGCACCGGAUCCCAUCAGAACUCCGAAGUUAAGCGUGCUUGGGCGAGAGUAGUACUAGGAUGGGUGACCCCCUGGGAAGUCCUCGUGUUGCACCCC